UUUUCCCUGAGUCAUGCAAUUUCUUUAGCAGUACUUGGAGUAUGUUAUCCACAAUCAGUGCUGAUCUGUUUUUUUUGUGGGAUUCGUAGCAAACCCAAAAUUGAUUUUGGAGUGAAUUUUGGAGGAAUGGAGUGAAAUUCUCCUCAAAGGUAUCUCUACUAUCCAAAGGGAACAAGGAACUAUCCAGCAGAAGAAAAGAACAUGUGAUUCUAAACAAAGGGUUUGGAAUUGUUCCCAAUGAAGUCAUCCUGCCUGUACUUCAGCAGAGGCUGAUUACCAAAGGGCCGAGCUUUGCUCAUUGAAUUGCAUACCAAUGUGGAAUAACUUCAAGUAUCAUUUCCAGAUGAUACUCUUUAGCUUUGUUUACAGCAAAAGCACUUUCCAAUAAGUAUUGUGAAAAAUGCUUCUAGGUUUAUACAUUAGGAAAAAAACACAAUUCUCAACAGUACAUAUUUUCUAUGUUUACAAUUUUUUUUAAGCUGUUGCAUAGUCAGGUUUUCUGGAACGAUGGUUCAGUAGCUUUAUUUAUAUUCAUGCAUGCCUUCUGUGUAAAGAAAAAGAGCUUUGUAAUGUGACCAGACAGAAAAUAUAUGUAGAUUCAUUGUACCAGAAUUAGAAACAGAUUAAAUACCCUCAGUAUGAUUUUAAUAUUUAGAAGGAAUUUCACUUCUUACAUUUGGAUAGUAGCAAAUUCUAAUCCUGAUGUGAUAUGUUAGUAGUCACUAUUUGCAACUGGCACAGCUUCUGAAAUCAUUGUUACUUUAAAACCAGCUGGUUUUACUGCUAUUUCUGUCUUCAUAUUAUAUGUCAGUAGCCACACGUUGUAUAGAUCUGUGUACAUAAAAUGUAUCAUGUACAUAUAUAUACAUUUUAUAUCCACAGUAAUUUUACUCUUUAACAGGCUUAAGUAAAUUAAAUGCAUUUUUUGUUGCUAAUCAAAAGUACUUAAGGACAUUUCCAGAAUUUCAAUAUUUAUUCACUGUGUUAAAUUAGAUUAAAAUGUCUCACUCCAGCAACAGAGAAGCUAUGUUUUUUGUCUACAGUUUAGUUAGGAAUUCUUACUAAGUGCAAAGGUUUUUCUCUACAGUUGCUACUGUGGCAACCAUAACUGUUGCAAAGUUACAGGAUGCACUUGGUGGUUGUGGUUGAAAAUUGUCAGCUUUAUAGUAAUCACACAAUUACUUGUAAGUAAUUUGAUACAGAUAUGUAGUGUACAUUUUUCUUUAUUUUUCCCCCAGUGGUUUGUUUGUAACUUUAAAUAGCUUAUUUGUAUUAGUUGUGUAACAAUUUAAGUGUAUAAUUUUACCUUUGUGACUUCAAUGCCCCAAAUUGUGAAGCAGUGAAAAGGGACCCAGUGGACCAUGCAAAAAACCCCAAAAACAAUAGUAAUAAAACUGAUCAUUUUUUCACA